rnacentral:rRNA from 1 species
AUUGAACGCUGGCGGCAGGCCUAACACAUGCAAGUCGAGCGGAUGAAGGGAGCUUGCUCCUGGAUUCAGCGGCGGACGGGUGAGUAAUGCCUAGGAAUCUGCCUGGUAGUGGGGGAUAACGUCCGGAAACGGGCGCUAAUACCGCAUACGUCCUGAGGGAGAAAGUGGGGGAUCUUCGGACCUCACGCUAUCAGAUGAGCCUAGGUCGGAUUAGCUAGUUGGUGGGGUAAAGGCCUACCAAGGCGACGAUCCGUAACUGGUCUGAGAGGAUGAUCUGUCACAAUGGAACUGAGACACGGUCCAGACUCCUACGGGAGGCAGCAGUGGGGAAUAUUGGACAAUGGGCGAAAGCCUGAUCCAGCCAUGCCGCGUGGGUGAAGAAGGUCUUCGGAUUGUAAAGCACUUUAAGUUGGGAGGAAGGGCAGUAAGUUAAUACCUUGCUGUUUUGACGUUACCAACAGAAUAAGCACCGGCUAACUUCGUG